UGUGUGAACUGGCUCUGCCUGCUUGUUCCUCCAUUUGCUGUUCCAAGCUAUUCGGGUUCCUUGUUCACUGCUCUGUUUGCUGUCUGAGAGCCCAGGAUGAAGCAGAAAGCUGGAUGUGAAGGAUGAGGCAUACUUGAAUCUUAUCUUGAUGUGGAUCUCAACAGAUAAAUCUAGCCCGUGAAUCUCUCCAAACUGCACUUCCAUCUGGAUUACAUACAACUGUUUUCAGUCUUGUGGUGACACUCCCAGAAGAGCAGAGUGUGGAAGGAUGGAGCAUCUGGCAGACACCAACUAACUAGUCCGCUUAGGGAUCACAUUGCCAGUUUUGAAGGAGCCUGAGGCAGCAGGAAAGUCACCUUCAUUUCUGUGGUACAAGAAGAGCACGCUGACAUUACUCACAACUCUGGAAUUGGUCAUCUUUCUGAACAGUGGAUCUGAGCCUCGGUCCCUAUGCAGGCCAAAUACCAAGACAGGAACAAUUCCUCUUGAAUAAGUACAUCUCAAAGAAAGAAAAAGUCUUGUUCUCCAAACAUUUCUAUAAUUGAUAUUUAUGUGUUUAUAUGUGAGCUUUUAUGGCCAUCCUGAAAAGAAUUAUUGGGUAUUUUUCUACAGAUAUUUUCAUACAUGUCUGGAAGUCAGACACUUUCAGAGUGGGUGGUAGAUGAGAUUUAAUGGAGCAUGGCAAGAAAAGACAGAAAGCAAAGAAUACCAGAUAAGCUGUAAAUUAUGGGGAUAAGAAAUGUAUAUUUAUUCCAGAUUGACUCAACAACUAUAUAAUUUUAGAUGAUAUAUUGAGUUUGAGCUGACUAUCUCCCAAAUGAAAGGAGUAAGUCUCUAUGGCUUGAGCUCAAAACUGUAGGCUCCUUUACUGGGACAGUAAUAGGAUCAUAUCCUUUGUGGUUCAGGCAUGGGGGAGAAGAAGAGGGAAACUGAUCUCUACAAAUGUUCUGUGCAAAAGAUUAUUCCACACAGUGUUUGCUGGAAACAGCCUACGGGCUGGAGCUGCUGGGGAGGUCAUACGGGUUUCCAAUUCAAUGUUUCUGCUCCAGAUUGCCAAAGCAGUUGAGUGACUGAGCUUUAACUUGGAUCCGUGAAUAAUAGUCUCCAAAGGACUUUAUAUUGCCUGGGGAUGCCAGGGUCCUUGGCACCUGGAGACUUAUAUUCUUCUGUCCCAGUGCACCCUAUGGACAUUAGGAGGGGACAGUUUUACCAUUGGUCUGCUGGAGACUCUUUCAUAUGAGGAACAGAAGUUACCCUUGGAAGCUGGAACCAUCACUACUAAAUACCAAACCAUCUAAAGAGCUACAAUAGAGAGCUUCUCUGAACAGACGUAUUUUUAGCUGUUCAUUCCAACUGUGGUGAAAUUAUGCUAUGCAGAAGCAUUACUUAAUCAGGUUUGAUUGUAGCCACAGCACAAUUUAGUCUCUUUCAUAUACUGCCGCCUAGUCUAGACUACUAGCUCACACAAUAUUAAUGCGAUACAGAUUAAAAGAAUGUUGUUGGAAAAUACUGAAAGCAAUCCUUGUUUAUGUUCCACUCCUACUAAAACUGAAAUUAAAAUGUCUAUUCUUCAUCUACUGAAUAGUCACUUCAAUAGUAUUCAUUUAAAGUCGCCUAAAAAUUCUUAGAUUAACAUUCUGCAGUUGUAGGUUAAAGAGAAAGGGAUUUAAUUAUGCUAUUUUCCUGAACUGAGAAACUACUGCAUGAAAUUUCUGUUGGGAUAGAAGGGAAAGAAAUUAAUAGAUUCCCUUGUGUUUAUUAUGGGUUUUGUUCUCUUUCCAUGAAUAUUCUAGGAAGCAAGAUAACAGAAAGUGACUUUCAUAUAAAUCUUGAGUAAUAUUCAUGAGAAACUGAUUUUGAAUUCUGAACAGCAAAUAUCCAUACAAGGAACAUGAUUCUGUAAGAAAAGAGCCCUCUUUCCAGUGCAUUUUAUUCUGUGAGACAGAUUAUGUAUUUGUGCUUAU